CAUCAGUUCAUACAUCUCCUGAGUUUCUGUCUUUCAGCUAUCUAUUUUUCUUUUGUUUUCUAGGCUCAACCAACUGUCCUGGGAGACAAAAGAACCCUUCAAGUUGAGUCACCAAAAGAAGAAAAGCCAAGUAUUAAGUGUGAUUCUCCAGAUGGUGGCAAGAUCUGUGCAGUGAAUAACAACUCUACCAAUGUGAACAAGACGACAGAAUUGGAUCCUGUCUUGCAGAAGCUGUACACACCUCCUCAGACUAAGCUGGAGAUCCCAAAAUCAGAAGAGAAAAACCGGAAGACUUCCAAAGGCAUCGCAAAUACAGAAGAAAAGACACUGUAGGCUUCAGGAAGCCGUGUUGCAAAUGUCCGUUUGCUAAUGUCUUCACGUUAUUUUUAGUCCAAAGGCAUGACAAAAGUACUAAGUUUCUAGAGCAUGCAUCUUUUCCACUAUUUUAUGUAUGUUUGUAAAGUAGCCGAAAGAAUUUCCAAAGUCCAACACGCCAUUUACUAUCCUUUAGCAAUAAUCUAUUUGAAAUCGAUAUUCACAGAAAUGCUUUUGUAAUAGAGUCCAGUUUUUUAAGACAUUAUGCUGUCUGGAUCAGUAACUUGCUUAUUAUAAAAUAGUCGGUUUUGUACACUAAUGCCAUUUCAAAGUUUGUUUUAUUGCCUGAUUUUUUUUCCCCUAUAGUUAUUCUUUUCUGGGAUAGGCUUUGAUGGCAACAUGAAAAUAAAGAACACUCUUUUCAUUAGUACCA
rnacentral:lncRNA from 1 species